rnacentral:lncRNA from 1 species
GAUUUGAAAACCACCUUAGUCCUCUCGCUGUGCACGCGGUGCCCCUCUUCUCUUCCAGGUUUCCAGAAUGCCUUUCCAGGCUAGAACCCAGGCUGUGAUCUGCUGGCCGGACACAACAGUGAUCGAUUCAGAAGGAACUGAGAGGCUCCACCAAUCUGCCUGAGUCCUUGGAAGUGGCAAGAAGCUGCUGGAGUAUCAUGAGAAAUUCUUUGAUGAGUUAAUCUCUACCAAUUCAUGACAAAUACAGAUCAGCAACAUGAUGCAAGAUGAGCCAAUACACGAGUGUCGUCAGCGAAGACUAUCGAGGCAGAGCAAGCCAAACCAAUGUCAGAGCAUCCUCCCACUGUCUGGGGUCAUAGUUACAUUCUUUCUAAACACCACCGUCCUAUCACGUGUCUGCUUCAGCAAAAGCUCCACUCACUUGUGUCUGUUUCAGCCAAACCUCCUUUCACUUGUCUGCCCCAGCAAAACAUACGACAAUACCGAGUUUCCAUAGAAACCAGAAAUUUCUAUUUCAGGAAGAAAGGGCUUUACUAACUGAGGUACACUGCCAACUUGGAACAAUUAGAUUCAAGAUCACUUUCAAUAUAUGAAGAUUCCACAAUCAUUUUUUAAAAUUUAUUUUUAUUUAUGUGUUUGC